GCCCCUGUAGCUCAACGGUUAGAGCAGCAGACUCAUAAUCUGUUGGCUGUAGGUUCGAAUCCUACCGGGGGCA
rnacentral:tRNA from 4 species